rnacentral:rRNA from 1 species
AGUGAACGCUGGCGGUAGGCCUAACACAUGCAAGUCGAACGGCAGCACAGUAAGAGCUUGCUCUUACGGGUGGCGAGUGGCGGACGGGUGAGGAAUACAUCGUAAUCUACUUUUUCGUGGGGGAUAACGUAGGGAAACUUACGCUAAUACCGCAUACGACCUACGGGUGAAAGCAGGGGAUCUUCGGACCUUGCGCGAUUGAAUGAGCCGAUGUCGGAUUAGCUAGUUGGCGGGGUAAAGGCCCACCAAGGCGACGAUCCGUAGCUGGUCUGAGAGGAUGAUCAGCCACACUGGAACUGAGACACGGUCCAGACUCCUACGGGAGGCAGCAGUGGGGAAUAUUGGACAAUGGGCGCAAGCCUGAUCCAACCAUACCGCGUGGGUGAAGAAGGCCUUCGGGUUGUAAAGCCCUUUUGUUGGGAAAGAAAAGCAGCAGGUUAAUACCCCGCUGUUCUGACGGUACCCAAAGAAUAAGCACCGGCUAACUUCGUG